rnacentral:rRNA from 1 species
UAGGGAAUCUUCCACAAUGGACGCAAGUCUGAUGGAGCAACGCCGCGUGAGUGAAGAAGGUUUUCGGACCGUAAAGCUCUGUUGUUGGUGAAGAAGGAUAGAGGUAGUAACUGGCCUUUAUUUGACGGUAAUCAACCAGAAAGUCACGGCUAACUACGUGCCAGCAGCCGCGGUAAUACGUAGGUGGCAAGCGUUGUCCGGAUUUAUUGGGCGUAAAAGCGAGCGCAGGCGGAAGAAUAAGUCUGAUGUGAAAGCCCUCGGCUUAACCGAGGAAUUGCAUCGGAAACUGUUUUCUUGAGUGCAGAAGAGGAGAGUAGAACUCCAUGUGUAGCGGUGGAAUGCGUAGAUAUAUGGAAGAAUACCAGUGGCGAAAGGCGGCUCUCUGGUCUGCAACUGACGCUGAGGCUCGAAAAGCAUGGGUAGCGAACAGGAUUAGAUACCCUGGUAGUCCAUGCCGUAAACGAUGAGUGCUAAGUGUUGGGAGGCUUCCGCCUCUCAGUGCUGCAGCUAACGCAUUAAGCACUCCGCCUGGGGGAGUACGACCGCAAG